UGGGGAAUAUUGGACAAUGGACCAAAAGUCUGAUCCAGCAAUUCUGUGUGCACGAUGACGUUUUUCGGAAUGUAAAGUGCUUUCAGUUGGGAAGAAAAAAAAUGACGGUACCAACAGAAGAAGUGACGGCUAAAUACGUGCCAGCAGCCGCGGUAAUACGUAUGUCACAAGCGUUAUCCGGAUUUAUUGGGCGUAAAGCGCGUCUAGGUGGUUAUGUAAGUCUGAUGUGAAAAUGCAGGGCUCAACUCUGUAUUGCGUUGGAAACUGCAUGACUAGAGUACUGGAGAGGUAAGCGGAACUACAAGUGUAGAGGUGAAAUUCGUAGAUAUUUGUAGGAAUGCCGAUGGGGAAGCCAGCUUACUGGACAGAUACUGACGCUAAAGCGCGAAAGCGUGGGUAGCAAACAGGAUUAGAUACCCUGGUAGUCCACGCCGUAAACGAUGAUUACUAGGUGUUGGGGGUCGAACCUCAGCGCCCAAGCUAACGCGAUAAGUAAUCCGCCUGGGGAGUACGUACGCAAGUAUG
rnacentral:rRNA from 1 species